rnacentral:rRNA from 1 species
GACGAACGCUGGCGGCGUGCUUAACACAUGCAAGUCGAACGGUAAGGCCCUUCGGGGUACACGAGUGGCGAACGGGUGAGUAACACGUGGGUGAUCUGCCCUGCACUUCGGGAUAAGCCUGGGAAACUGGGUCUAAUACCGGAUAGGACCACUGCCCGCAUGGGGGGUGGUGGGAAGCUUUUGCGGUGUGGGAUGGGCCCGCGGCCUAUCAGCUUGUUGGUGGGGUAAUGGCCUACCAAGGCGACGACGGGUAGCCGGCCUGAGAGGGUGACCGGCCACACUGGGACUGAGAUACGGCCCAGACUCCUACGGGAGGCAGCAGUGGGGAAUAUUGCACAAUGGGCGCAAGCCUGAUGCAGCGACGCCGCGUGAGGGAUGACGGCCUUCGGGUUGUAAACCUCUUUCAGCACCGACGAAGCGCAAGUGACGGUAGGUGCAGAAGAAGGACCGGCCAACUACGUGCCAGCCGCCGCGGUAA